UACGGAGGGGGCUAGCGUUGUUCGGAAUUACUGGGCGUAAAGCGCGCGUAGGCGGCUUUGUAAGUUAGAGGUGAAAGCCCGGAGCUCAACACCGGAACUGCCUUUAAGACUGCAUCGCUAGAAUUGUGGAGAGGUGAGUGGAAUUCCGAGUGUAGAGGUGAAAUUCGUAGAUAUUCGGAAGAACACCAGUGGCGAAGGCGACUCACUGGACACAUAUUGACGCUGAGGUGCGAAAGCGUGGGGAGCAAACAGG
rnacentral:rRNA from 1 species